rnacentral:rRNA from 1 species
CAGUCGCCGCGGUAAUACGAAGGGUGCAAGCGUUAAUCGGAAUUACUGGGCGUAAAGCGUGCGCAGGCGGCUUGUUAAGACAGAUGUGAAAUCCCCGGGCUCAACCUGGGAACUGCAUUUGUGACUGGCAAGCUAGAGUCUUGUAGAGGGGGGUAGAAUUCCAGGUGUAGCGGUGAAAUGCGUAGAGAUCUGGAGGAAUACCGGUGGCGAAGGCGGCCCCCUGGACAAAGACUGACGCUCAGGUGCGAAAGCGUGGGGAGCAAACAGGAUUAGAUACCCGCGUAGUCCCUGUCUCUUAUAC